AUGGGCCGCCACAUGGCGCUUCCCCUGCUCCUGGCGCUCGCGGCCCUAGUGGCGUCGCUGCCGUCGGCUUCGCUCGCGACGGCGGGGACGGCUGGUGCGUUCGACAGCUGGUUGUCCGCGAACCAAAAAGACUUCGCGAUCAACCAGGCGUUGUACGCGAAGAAGGCGGUGGGUGACACGGGCAGCACCAUCGACGAGUCCCUGUCCAAGGCGGAGGAUAACAAGACCACCUACGUGGUGGACCCCAAGGGCGGUGGUGACUACAAGACCAUCACGGCCGCGAUCGACGCCAUCCCGGAGGGCAACACCGGUCGCGUAAUCCUGGACCUGAAACCCGGCGAGUACCGUGAGAAGAUCUUCCUCAAUCUCAGCAAGCCCUACGUCACUUUCAAGUCCGAUCCCAAGAACCCGGCCAUCAUCGCCUGGAGCGACACCGCUGCGACGCUAGGGAAAGACGGGAAGCCCGUGGGCACGGUGGGGAGCACCACUUGCGCCAUCGAGUCCGACUACUUCGUGGCGUACGGCGUGGUGUUCAAGAACGACGCGCCACUGGCCAAGCCGGGGGCCAAGGGCGGGCAGGCGGUGGCGCUGCGUACGUUCGGCACCAAGCAGGCCUUCUACAACUGCACCAUCGACGGCGGGCAGGACACGCUGUACGACCACAAGGGUUUGCACUACUUCAAGGACUGCGUGAUCAAAGGGAGCGUGGACUUCAUCUUCGGGUUUGGGAGGUCCUUGUACGAGAACUGCCGCAUCGUGUCCAUCGUGAAGGAGAUCGCCGUGCUCACGGCGCAGCAGCGGACCAAGACCAUCGAGGGCGCCAUCGAGAGCGGGUUCUCGUUCAAGAACUGCACCAUCAUGAGCGAAGGCGGGGGGGAUAUCUAUCUUGGCAGGGCGUGGGGGGACUCGUCGCGCGUCAUCUACGCCUACACCGAGAUGAGCAAGGAGGUGGUGCCAGUUGGAUGGGACGGAUGGAACAUCAAGCAGCCUGAGAGUAGCGGGAUCUACUACGGCGAGUUCAAAUGCAGCGGGCCGGGGUCGGACGCGAGGAAGAGGGUCGGGUGGGCUGUGGAUCUCACCGAGGCCCAGGCCAAGCCCUUCAUCGGCACACACUACAUCUUCGGCGACUCUUGGAUUCUGCCACCGCCAACUGGGAACUCUCCUCCCUCUAAAAAAGGCUACAGUGGAGGAGCCCCCGCCACAUCCCCCGCCUCAUCGCCCGAGUCCGCAGAUUCGGCCUCAUCGCCCGAGUCGGCGGAUUCAGCCGCGUCGCCCAAGUCGGCGUCCAAAGCAUCGUCGCCCAAAUCCGCCUACUCAGCUGGAUCCAAGACGAAGAAGAAAGAAUUAUAG
rnacentral:rRNA from 1 species